rnacentral:rRNA from 1 species
AGAGUUUGAUCCUGGCUCAGGAUGAACGCUGGCGGCGUGCCUAACACAUGCAAGUCGAACGGAAUUUACAUGAAGCCUAGCGAUUGUAAAUUUAGUGGCGGACGGGUGAGUAACGCGUGGGUAACCUGCCUUGUACUGGGGGACAACAGUUGGAAACGACUGCUAAUACCGCAUAAGCGCACGGCUUCGCAUGAAGCAGUGCGAAAAACUCCGGUGGUACAAGGUGGACCCGCGUCUGAUUAGCUGGUUGGUGAGGUAACGGCCCACAAGGCGACGAUCAGUAGCCGGCCUGAGAGGGUGAACGGCCACAUUGGGACUGAGACACGGCCCAAACUCCUACGGGAGGCA